UUCUGGCUCAGAACGAACGCUGGCGGCAGGUCUUAGGCAUGCAAGUCGAACGGAUGACAGAGAGCUUGCUCUCUGAAGUCAGUGGCGCACGAGUGAGUAACGCGUGGGAAACUGCCCUUCACUGGGGAAUAACGUUUGGAAACGAACGCUAAUACCGCAUACGCCCGCAAGGGGAAAGAUUUAUCGGUGAUGGAUGUGCCCGCGUUGGAUUAGCUAGUUGGUGGGGUAAUGGCCUACCAAGGCGAUGAUCCAUAGCUGGUCUGAGAGGACGAUCAGCCACGCUGGAACUGAGACACGGUCCAGACUCCUACGGGAGGCAGCAGCUAAGAAUAUUGGGCAAUGGAGGAAACUCUGACCCAGCCAAUGCCGCGUGAAUGAAGAAGGCCUUCGGGUUGUAAAGUUCUUUUAGUCAUGAAGAUGAUGACAGUAGUGACAGAAAAAGCACCGGCUAACUUCGUGCCAGCCGCUGC
rnacentral:rRNA from 1 species